AGUGAACGCUGGCGGUAGGCCUAACACAUGCAAGUCGAACGGCAGCACAGUAAGAGCUUCCUCUUACGGGCGACCAGUGGCGGAAUACAGCGGAAUACACCGAAACCUACUGUUUCGUGGGGCAUAACCUAGGCUAACAUCCCCUACUACCGCAUACUAACUACGGGUGAAAGCAAGGCCUCUUCGGACCUUACCCGAUUGUAUCAGCCGAUGUCGGAUUAGCUAGUUGGCGGGGUAAAGGCCCACCAAGGCGACGAUCCGUAGCUGGUCUGAGAGGAUGAUCAGCCACACUGGAACUGAGACACGGUCCAGACUCCUACGGGAGGCAGCAGUGGGGAAUAUUGGACAAUGGGCGCAAGCCUGAUCCAGCAAUACCGCGUGGGGGAAGAAGGCCUUCGGGUUGUAAAGCCCUUUUGUUGGGAAAGAAAAGCAGCAGGUUAAUACCUCGCGGAUCUGACGGUACCCAAAGAAUAAGCACCGGCUAACUUCGUG
rnacentral:rRNA from 1 species